GUGCACAUGAGGGAGGGGCCUGGAGUAGCCUCCUAUGCACAGUCCAUGCAGCCCAGAGCUGAGCCAGCCUCCCUGGGACUUCCCAGUGGCCCCUGCCCACCCCCUGGC